rnacentral:rRNA from 1 species
UUGGAGGGCAAGUCUGGUGCCAGCAGCCGCGGUAAUUCCAGCUCCAAUAGCGUAUAUUAAAGUUGUUGCAGUUAAAAAGCUCGUAGUUGAAUUUCGGGAUCAAUGUUUCGGUCAUGCCAUUGGUAUGUACUGAUAUUAUUGAUUUCUCACCUUCUAAAGAACCGUAAUGCCAUUAAUUUGGUGUCACGGGGAAUUAGGACUGUUACCUUGAAAAAAUUAGAGUGUUUAAAGCAGGCUCACGCUUGAAUACAUUAGCAUGGAAUAAUGAAAUAGGACAUCCGAUUCUAUUUUGUUGGUUUCUAGGAUCGAUGUAAUGAUUAAUAGGGAUAGUUGGGGGCAUUAGUAUUCAAUUGUCAGAGGUGAGAUUCUUGGAUUUAUUGAAGACUAACUACUGCGAAAGCAUUUGCCAAGGAUGUUUUCAUUAAUCAAGAACGAAAGUUAGGGGAUCGAAGACGAUCAGAUACCGUCGUAGUCUUAACCAUAAACUAUGCCGACUAGGGAUCGGAUGAUGUUAAUUUUUUAAUGACUCAUUCGGCGCCUUACGGGAAACCAAAGUGUUUGGGUUC